UAGCGGCGAGUGAAGCGGCAAAAGCUCAAAUUUGAAAUCUGGCGCCUUCGGUGUCCGAGUUGUAAUUUGAAGAUUGUAACCUUGGGGUUGGCUCUUGUCUAUGUUUCUUGGAACAGGACGUCACAGAGGGUGAGAAUCCCGUGCGAUGAGAUGCCCAAUUCUAUGUAAGGUGCUUUCGAAGAGUCGAGUUGUUUGGGAAUGCAGCUCUAAGUGGGUGGUAAAUUCCAUCUAAAGCUAAAUAUUGGCGAGAGACCGAUAGCGAACAAGUACAGUGAUGGAAAGAUGAAAAGAACUUUGAAAAGAGAGUGAAAAAGUACGUGAAAUUGUUGAAAGGGAAGGGUUUGAGAUCAGACUCGAUAUUUUGUGAGCCUUGCCUUCGUGGCGGGGUGACCCGCAGCUUAUCGGGCCAGCAUCGGUUUGGGCGGUAGGAUAAUGGCGUAGGAAUGUGACUUUACUUCGGUGAAGUGUUAUAGCCUGCGUUGAUGCUGCCUGCCUAGACCGAGGACUGCGAUUUUAUCAAGGAUGCUGGCAUAAUGAUCCCAAACCGCCCGUCUUGAA
rnacentral:rRNA from 1 species